CACGUAGGGUGCGAGCGUUGUCCGGAAUUAUUGGGCGUAAAGAGCUCGUAGGCGGUGUGUCGCGUCGGCCGUGAAAACCUGCAGCUUAACUGUGGGCUUGCGGUCGAUACGGGCAUCACUGGAGUUCGGCAGGGGAGACUGGAAUUCCUGGUGUAGCGGUGAAAUGCGCAGAUAUCAGGAGGAACACCGGUGGCGAAGGCGGGUCUCUGGGCCGUAACUGACGCUGGAGGAGCGAAAGCG
rnacentral:rRNA from 1 species